rnacentral:rRNA from 1 species
UACGGAGGGGCUAGCGUUGUUCGGAAUUACUGGGCGUAAAGCGCACGUAGGCGGCUUUGUAAGUUAGAGGUGAAAGCCCAGGGCUUAACCCUGGAAUUGCCUUUAAGACUGCAUCGCUAGAAUCGUGGAGAGGUAAGUGGAAUUCCGAGUGUAGAGGUGAAAUCGUAGAUAUUGGGAAGACACCGGUGGCGAAGGCGGCUCUCUGGACCGUAACUGACGCUGAGGCGCGAAAAGCGUGGGGAGCAAACAGG